UACGGGGGGGGCAAGCGUUGUUCGGAAUUACUGGGCGUAAAGGGCUCGUAGGCGGCCAACUAAGUCAGACGUGAAAUCCCUCGGCUUAACCGGGGAACUGCGUCUGAUACUGGAUGGCUUGAGUGUGGGAGAGGGAUGCGGAAUUCCAGGUGUAGCGGUGAAAUGCGUAGAUAUCUGGAGGAACACCGGUGGCGAAGGCGGCAUCCUGGACCAACACUGACGCUGAGGAGCGAAAGCCAGGGGAGCAAACAGG
rnacentral:rRNA from 1 species